rnacentral:lncRNA from 7 species
AAAUGUGAUCAGCAGGACAAGAAGCUGAAGGUAUGACCAGAAGUCUUUCCUUCUCUUGUCGUUCAUUCACCUGAUAAAAUGAAUUUCAGCCUUCAAGCACAAAUAAAAGUGGAGCAAUACAGAUACAUCAGCCCAGAACCUCCCAGAACAUCCGACGUGUGGACUAGUACACCAGUAAAAGAUGAGGAGAUUUCCUGGUAAAUUUAUACAUUUCUUUGCUGAGAAUCCUGGAUCUCCUUUCCCUCUCAUGCACCUCAGUAUACAGCUUCCAACUCUUGUGCAUUUGCAGGCACAGGAGAUUAUUUCGUUUGGAACUGGAAAGAUUAAAACCUGGCAGAAAUGUGGCAAAACGAUCAGGAUUGCUGCUUAAAACAUCUGUCACGAAACUCAAAGAGGGUUUAAGACUGGACAGUGCAAAUCAAGUGAAAAUGUGGACGCAGCCCUGGGGAUUUGGACCUGAAUAAUACAGCCUCUUCCAUGAGCAAUACGAGUGCUGCUAUGGACAUCCAAAUCAGCCACCGCACGUGAGGAUCGGAUUAGAUUGAUAGUGGAUAUUUUUUCUGUAAGGAAGUGGAGUUCUGGCUUAAGAGAAGCAGCUGGAAAGUGUACAGAGAUGAUUCUCAUCUCAGAGAAUUACUUUCAGAGUGAUUUCCCUGGACAAUAUGUUCAAAUUAAACUGGGCAUGGAAGAAGAACACGUGCUAUUUCCAAUUAAAAAUAUCCGUAUUAAAUACCUAUGUGUACGUAAAGAUAUAUACAGAGAUACAAACGUGCUUACAUCCUGCGUGAUAUCUUAGCCUAUGCAAACGUAGGUCUGCUCACACACAACGGUUAAGCUAAGCUUACAUAUGGUGAUGAAGAGAAAAUCAUGGAAGAACUAGAAGAGUUACAGGGGUAGCAUCACCUACUCACCGGUGGUCUCGUAGUGAUGGCAGUGAAGUCUCGGUCUGCACAGCUGCCUCUCCUUGCCAACCUCCUGUGAUGUUCCAGUUGUAAUGACAGUGAGUGCCUUUCACCUUCUUUUAUACCUGCCCAAUAAUCACCACAGCACUUUGUGACUAAGACCUUUCCUCUUGUGUCAGUGGAAGGAGAGAGCUCGCUACUUCCAAUGAGAAUAAAUCUCAGAUGCUAAAAUGUUCAGCUGUGACUAAGGAGAAGAUGACGACUCUGUGGGAAGUGUGUUAUUCUUUUGCUGUCUCCUGUUUUGUUGUUGUUUGGGUGGGUUUUUUUGUUUGUUUGUUUGUUUUUUGAGACCUUUAUUCUGAUGCACUGCUAUGGAGCCCCGAGGUAAUGGAAAAGGGAUAUUCAUACUUGUUCAACAGUUGAGAUCCCUUGCUGUGUGUGCUUUGCUGUGUUCUUGGACUCAUGAAUAGGCCACAGCGUUGCACAGCUGGAAUCUAACUCAGCAAUACUGUAAGUGUGUAAUGCAAGUGACCAUGCAGUGUGAAUGGACAGUUACUUGCAGAGAACACGAGGAGUUUGUAAAUAAGAUCCCACUAGAUUUUAACGCUCAGCACAAAUCUCAUUUAAAUUGUUUGCACAGUAAGAUGUAUUUGUUUUUGAUUUUAUGAAGUGGGGAGAUAUGGAGGAGCCUUAUCAACUUAGUAAAUGAUAAAAACACAAGCAGCAGCUCAGGCAAGAAGCCAAAUUCUGAUGUGAUUUGAAACCAUAGGACUUACUGAGAUGCAAAUCUGGAUACUCACUUUAUGAUAUCUGGUCAGGUAAUUCAGUACAGUUUGGAUACUGAGCAUAUGGAUGGACUGGAGCACCAGGCUGAACCACUAGGUCUGUUUAAGAGGACCAGACCCUAUUUCUCCAAGCAAAUGAAAGUGAAUGUAUUUGUCUUCUCUGAGAAAAGAAUCCCUGGAAAAACUGAGGAUACCAUUUGCUCGGUGUUACCAUAAGCUACCCGUUCAUUUCCCAUAGGCACUGCCUCACCAUCCCAUUAAAUUCAGACUCAGGUUCUGCGGACAUCAGAUCCUCUUUAUUAAAUUCCUCGUGACAGCUUGUUGUGAGCCCUGCUAUUUCUCAGCACUCAAAUAAGUGUUCCUGAUGACGUGAGUCACAAUUGUUAGUGUCACUCAUUAAAGUGUAUGAAGUCUGUCACCAAUUAAAAAUGACAUUUAUUAAAUGUGGCU